rnacentral:rRNA from 1 species
AACGAACGCUGGCGGCAUGCCUAACACAUGCAAGUCGAACGAACCCUUCGGGGUUAGUGGCGCACGGGUGCGUAACGCGUGGGGAUCUGCCCAAAGGUUCGGAAUAACUCAGAGAAAUUUGAGCUAAUACCGGAUAAUGUCUUCGGACCAAAGAUUUAUUGCCUUUGGAUGAACCCGCGUAGGAUUAGCUUGUUGGUGGGGUAAAGGCCUACCAAGGCGACGAUCCUUAGCUGGUCUGAGAGGAUGAUCAGCCACACUGGGACUGAGACACGGCCCAGACUCCUACGGGAGGCAGCAGUGGGGAAUAUUGGACAAUGGGCGAAAGCCUGAUCCAGCAAUGCCGCGUGAGUGAUGAAGGCCUUAGGGUUGUAAAGCUCUUUUACCAGGGAUGAUAAUGACAGUACCUGGAGAAUAAGCUCCGGCUAACUUCGUG